ACCUGGGUGGCUCAGUCGGUUAAGCGUCUGACUUCGAAUCAGGUCGUGAUCUGACAGUUCGUGGGUUUGAGCCCCAUGCUGGGUG
rnacentral:tRNA from 1 species